UCUCCGUAGGUGAACCUGCGGAGGGAUCAUUACCGAGUGAGGGUCCUUGUGGCCCGACCUCCAACCCUUUGUGAAUCGUACUCGUUGCUUCGGGGGCGACCCUGCCGUUCGCGGCGUGGGGCCCCCGGAGCCCAUCAAACCCUGCGUAACCAAGUCGUCGGAGUUUAAACAAAUUAAACAAAACUUUCAACAACGGAUCUCUUGGUUCGGGCAUCGAGAAGAACGCAGC
rnacentral:misc_RNA from 1 species